GGGGACGGGAGAGUGUGGGAAUGUCCCGGGCUGUCAGUGCUCCCCCGUGUGCAGUGCCAAUUCUCACACUGCAGGGUGGUGUUUCUGUACUUUAACUUGGUUUGCUCAAAGCAAGGAGCUGCUGGUAACCCAUCGAAAGCUCCCUAGUCAUCAAAAGUUUGCACUAUUUGUGCAUUUUAACAGAGGUAUCAGCACUCUUUGGUCACAAAUGGUAUAGCUUCUGUGUUGGUGGUUAUGUUUCCAGCUGGAAGAGGUUUGUGUCUGCUGUGGGGGUGACAAGUGCCCUGCACCCGGGUUAAAUGGAGCAGCUGGAAAACACACCUGUGGUCCAGUGUCUUGCCUUCAGUAAUUUGAUUCUGCCCUUCUGGAGCUUGGACACUGACUUGUCCCCCAGAGCAGGAGGGACCUGACUGCUCCAGUGCUUACUCCUGUGGCCUCUGGCAAAGGUAAAAUCCAAAUGUAAGUGAUUGAAGCACAAAGUUGCUUCCUCAGCAGUUGCUCAGUCGUGGCUGGUCCCAGAGACGUAAAAUAAAAAGCACAGAAGCCAA